rnacentral:rRNA from 1 species
GAUGAACGCUGGCGGCGUGCCUAAUACAUGCCAGUCGAGCGAACAGACGAGGAGCUUGCUCCUCUGACGUUAGCGGCGGACGGGUGAGUAACACGUGGAUAACCUACCUAUAAGACUGGGAUAACUUCGGGAAACCGGAGCUAAUACCGGAUAAUAUAUUGAACCGCAUGGUUCAAUAGUGAAAGACGGUUUUGCUGUCACUUAUAGCUGGAUCCGCGCCGCAUUAGCUAGUUGGUAAGGUAACGGCUUACCAAGGCAACGAUGCGUAGCCGACCUGAGAGGGUGAUCGGCCACACUGGAACUGAGACACGGUCCAGACUCCUACGGGAGGCAGCAGUAGGGAAUCUUCCGCAAUGGGCGAAAGCCUGACGGAGCAACGCCGCGUGAGUGAUGAAGGUCUUCGGAUCGUAAAACUCUGUUAUUAGGGAAGAACAAAUGUGUAAGUAACUAUGCACGUCUUGACGGUACCUAAUCAGAAAGCAACGGCUAACUACGUG